UCUUCAGGACUUUGUUGACCACCCUCCACUCCACCCAUGUUUCAGAAGUGAGACUAAGUUAGGAUUUUGUCCUGGGUAUGGAGAGUUAGUAAAUAUUGUUCAUACAGAAGCCCGAGUUCCACAAUGAACAGAAGAGAUGGAAAAUCACUCCCUCAGCAAACAACACAAUCUUUUUAAUAAACUUGAAUCUCAUGGAGACAGCUGAAAGGAGAGGAAGAAGAAAAAGGAAAAAGCCAUUGCUGAGGAGGUGCUGCCUGUGAAGACUGUUCUCUUCUGCCUCCUGAAAAGGUUGCUGCCUACGGAUGUUAGAUGCACAUACAUGGCAGGUUGGUGAGGUAUAGCUAAGUGCGGAACGUGCAGGAUCAGUCUACAAUGGCUCCCAGUCAAAUUCCCACAGAAUUUGUUAGGUAUUUGUCCGAUUCUGCAGCCGGCGCAUCUCGCCCGGUGCCUGCGCGCCUGCCGCUGCGCCCGUGCCGAAAGCCAACAGGAGCCGCGCCGCGCUUGUGCUCGUCGCCACGGAGCAACGUCAACGUCCUGUGUAGACCGGCACUUCGGCAGCAACCAGCAAGCAAGAAAGCAUCUUCUAUUCAGACCCGUGAUUACUUUGUCCUAUUCGAUGGAUGCCUGAAGUCUUAUAUGCCUUUGUUCUGUAAGCUUGAUGUUGCUGCAGUGCGGCUUUGAUUAAUUGGUCCGAUUGCUUUGGAAAUUUCUCGUCAAUUCCUGGGAAGAUGCUACAAAUUCUAGAUGCAAAUUUAUAA